rnacentral:rRNA from 1 species
AGAGUUUGAUCCUGGCUCAGGGUUAACGCUGGCGGCGUGCCUAACACAUGCAAGUCGAACGGUUCUAAGCGCGAGCUUAGGAUAGUGGCGAACGGGUGAGUAAAAGGUGGGAAUCUACCCCUUGGACGGAGAUAGCUACUGGAAACGGUAGGUAAACUUCGAUAAGCCCGAGAGGGGAAAGUGGUGAGACAGCCGAGGGAUGAGCCUACUCUCCAUCAGGUAGUUGGUGAGAUAAAAGCUUACCAAGCCGAUGACGGAUAACCGGUGUGAGAGCAUGAACGGUCACAAGGGCACUGAGAGACGGGCCCUACUCCUACGGGAGGCAGCAGUGGGGAAUCUUGGACAAUGGGCGAAAGCCUGAUCCAGCGACGCCGCGUGGAGGAAGAAGUCCUUCGGGAUGUAAACUUCUGAACUAGCCGAAUAAAAGGCCUGUGGACACACAGGAGAAGAAAGUAGGCUAGGAAAAGUCCCGGCUAACUACGUGCCAGCAGCCGCGGUAANUC